rnacentral:lncRNA from 1 species
GUUUGGGGUGUUUGGAAGGUUUGGAGGCUUGUGUGCAUUAAGGGCUGAGUUCUGGAUGAACUCAAGUUCGGCCGCCGAAGGUGGUUUCGGCUGUCGAACCUGCCUAUGGAUGCAUGGAUUGGCCGCCUAACCUUGCCUCCGAAAGUUGUGUUUCGGAUCUGGAGCAGACUUUCGGCCGCCGAAGGUAAUGUUCGGCCGCCGAAAGUGCCUGACUUUCGGA